rnacentral:rRNA from 1 species
UACGUAGGGGGCUAGCGUUGUCCGGAUUUAUUGGGCGUAAAGAGCGUGUAGGCGGCCAGGUAGGUCUGCUGUGAAAACUCGAGGCUCAACCUCGAGAUGUCGGCGGAAACCAUCUGGCUAGAGUCCGGAAGAGGAGAGUGGAAUUCCUGGUGUAGCGGUGAAGUGCGCAGAUAUCAGGAAGAACACCCGUGGCGAAGGCGGCUCUCUGGGACGGUACUGACGCUGAGACGCGAAAGCGUGGGGAGCGAACAGG